GACGAACCGUGCAAACGUUAUUCGGAAUCACUGGGCAUAAAGGGCGCGUAGGCGGCUUUCUAAGUCAGGGGUGAAAUCCUGGAGCUCAACUCCAGAACUGCCUUUGAUACUGAAGAUCUUGAGUUCGGGAGAGGUGAGUGGAACUGCGAGUGUAGAGGUGAAAUUCGUAGAUAUUCGCAAGAACACCAGUGGCGAAGGCGGCUCACUGGCCCGGUACUGACGCUGAGGUGCGAAAGCGUGGGGAGCAAACAGG
rnacentral:rRNA from 1 species